GGUUGUGGCUCAGUGGUAGAGCUCUUGCCUAGCAUGUGUAAGGCACUGAGUUCGAGUCUCAGCACCA
rnacentral:tRNA from 1 species